rnacentral:rRNA from 1 species
CCAGCAGCCGCGGUAAUACGAAGGGGGCUAGCGUUGUUCGGAAUCACUGGGCGUAAAGCGCACGCAGGCGGAUUGAUAAGUCAGGGGUGAAAUCCCGGAGCUCAACUCCGGAAUUGCCUUUGAUACUGUCUGUCUUCGAGUUCGGGAGAGGUUGGCGGAAUUCCUAGUGUAGAGGUGAAAUUCGUAGGUAUUAGGAAGAACACCAGUGGCGAAGGCGGCCAACUGGCCCGAUACUGACGCUCAUGUGCGAAAGCGUGGGGAGCAAACAGGAUUAGAUACCCUGGUA